AUUGAACGCUGGCGGCGUGCCUAACACAUGCAGGUCGAGCGGUAACAGGUGUAGCAAUACAUGCUGACGAGCGGCGGACGGGUGAGUAACGCUUGGGAAUCUGCCUAUUAGUGGGGGACAACCCGGGGAAACUCGGGCUAAUACCGCAUACGCUCUACGGAGGAAAGCCGGGGACCGCAAGGCCUGGCGUUAAUAGAUGAGCCCAAGUCGGAUUAGCUAGUUGGUAGGGUAAUGGCCACCAAGGCGACGAUCCGUAACUGGUCUGAGAGGACGACCAGUCACACCGGAACUGAGACACGGUCCGGACUCCUACGGGAGGCAGCAGUGGGGAAUAUUGGACAAUGGGCGAAAGCCUGAUCCAGCGACGCCGCGUGGGUGAAGAAGGCCUGCGGGUUGUAAGCCUUCNGUGGGAAGAAAGCCUCGACCUAACACGUCGGGGUCUUGACGUAACCCAUAGAAGAAGCACCGGCCUAACUCUGUGCCAGCAGCCGC
rnacentral:rRNA from 1 species